UUCUUUGGUUUCCUCCCUCACCUUUCUCUCAGGGCUGUAUGGUUCAGCUGGAUUUAAAAAUGAUUUGGCAUUGUCUUUAUUCUUUUAUCUAGGCUGUAGUAUAUCUUUGAGGGUAUGCUUUUUAGCUGCUCUUUAUUCUUAUCUCCAGGACUUUUUCUUCUCAAAGAGGCACAGUACUGAUUUUUCUGGCAGGAUGUUGCUAUUGUAGCAGUAGAGGGCUGUGAGUCCUCACCGAAAAAUGUCAACCCUUUGCCAUGAGGCAGUGUGUCCCCAUCUGCAAUGUUUCUGAUGGAGGUAUCACGACUUAGCGAAGCGAUUUUGACAGGUGAUGACAGUACUUCAGAGGGUCCUAGCUGUCCCUUUCGUCUCUGGGGAAGACUAACUUCCAGAAAUAUGGGAGACAGAGACCAUAAUCUGCAGAAAUCUGCAUUCUAACAUGCUGGCUCUACCCUGAGGAAAUGCCCUGCAGGUUUGAGUAUGCUGUUAGCACAGCACUGCUGGAGGGAGCAACGGAUUUCCAUGACUGAUGUUUGUCAGAAGAACCUGGCUUGGAAGCAGCACUUCUUCGGUCAAAAUCUGAAACAUCUUGCUGCUUUGAUAGAAUUUUGUGCAGGAUGAAGUGCUCAUCUAGGAAGACUUUGUGAGAUUGCUUGAGGUGAAUAAGUCUCAGGAAAUACUAUUUGCUUAGCAGGUCAAUUCACUUGUUUUUGAUAUAAACUGCAAAACAUUCUCAGCUUUUGUCCCUUUUCUGAUAACCUUGUCACUCACGAAACAUAAGUAUUUAAAGUAAUUUGUGAUUAAGGCUAAACUUGUGAUGUUCCCUGUCAGGGACAGAGUAACAUUAGCUUGUUCCUUCUGUUCUACUUCACAGUUGCUUGUAAUUUGUGAAGAAAGUUGCUGAUUGGCCUUAGAUGUUGAGACUAUGUGUUAAUUUUCAGGAGUGGAGACCCAUCUUUGUCUCUUAAUCACUGCAUUUUACCUUCUAAAAUGUGCAAUUUCUCUAUACUUUGAUAGUUUCCUCCCUGCUAGUUCUAUCAUGAAUAAUUUUUUGUGCACUUGUUUAGCAAUCUUGUGUCCUGUAAUCAACAUCUACAAGCUAUUUGGGAUUCAUAGCAUAAGAUUUGUUUAUUAGUUCAGCAAAUAUACGUUAAUGAAUUUUAAAUCGUUAUGGGGAAACUAUGUCUCCAUAUGUUAUUGAUUUAUCUAUAAAUUAAUUUGCCAGGUCAUCCAGAAUAAAACCAAUCUCUUGAAGUAAUAGGAAAUCUACAUUUUCAUUUCAAAUAUUUAAUAUCUAAAAAGGCUCCUAGUGUAUUUAGCUAAUAAGAUCAUGUACGGGUUGCUUCCAGUCAAUGCAAGUGUAAGACAUUCUGUCAGUAAUUAGUAUGCACUGCCAGACUUUGAUUAUACCAGCUCUUUGACCUAUUUUUAACAGAAACUAGGGCAGUCCGUUGGAUUGCCUUUCCCUGUCCCUGGGCACCCUGCUGUGUUAUGUUCUUCAUA